rnacentral:lncRNA from 1 species
UGAAACUGCACCUCUGGAAUUUGGUCGCAGUUAUUUAGGGUGGAGAAGCGGGCUCUGGCAACUAGAGAAGGUGGCCGCAGCAUGGGGACACCCGAAUUGAGGAGCUGUUUGGGCAAUAAGCUGAUUUAGAGAAUUAAGACCUCCACAGAUGGGAGUGGAAUCCGCAACUGCUCAAUCCAUCCACUGAGAAGUCCCAUAAAAGAUGGACAAUCCAUAACUGAAACCCAACCUUCGGCACAACGAUCAAAUUCUACAUGCAUAAAGCAAGAGAUCUGUGUGCCAGAUCCAUCUUAAAGGCACCCCACCCAGAGGACAGAGUCUGUCUCCUUCCCCUAAACAAUAUGCAGAAACCACCCUGGUAUUUCAUGGGUUCUCACUUAGGAAAAUUGAGUUCUGUUCAAUGAUGCCCCUUCUGCACUGGUUGGUUUCAUGUGACAAAGAGAGCUCUAGGGAGGACUUUUGCUAGGGGAACGCAGAUUGUUCCAGCAAGAUGAAGGCCUAGGAGACCUGGAUGGCCUGGGUGUUUUCUUCCCAGGGAGAGCAGAGGAGGCCUGGAUUUGAACUCGAGUCUUAUGACUUUGCCAUUGAGGCAACAUCCAAAAUAAAAAUAGCAUGCUAACCCCAAGCACAGUCCUCAGUUAUAAAGCAGCUUUAUUAUAGAAGCCGGCGGUGACCUAACAAAAUGGAAAGGGAAGGGCUCUGUAGGUCUCGGCCCUACAUGAGGGUAGACUAAAGAGGGAUUGGGAGAAACAUCUGCAGCCCGAGGUCCCCGCGAACUUUUUCCUGGAGAGAAACUCCGGGAGCAAUCUUCAGCAUUCAAGCCUGAGCCAGAACUCUGGAUAGCCCUUUAGAAAUCAGAACUCCGGGAAGGAGGAGCUCCAAAGACCGCUGAGCUGGAAGGGAACGCGAA